rnacentral:piRNA from 1 species
UGUCAGAACUGUGCCUGAGAAAGACUGA